AAUAAAGACGCGUCACCAGAGAUGCAUUGAGCAGUGGAGCUGCUGCUCAGAUACAGGCUUCAGCUGACACAGAUGAGGACUGCAAUCUGGAGUCCAUUCCUGAGCGACCACAUUCAAAAUAAACAAGUAUUUUGUUAUAA